rnacentral:rRNA from 1 species
AUUGAACGCUAGCGGCAGGCCUAACACAUGCAAGUCGGGCCAGCGGCGGACGGGUGAGUAAUGUAUGGGGACUGCCUGAUGGCGGGGGAUAACUACUGGAAACGGUAGCUAAUAACGCAUACCAUACGAUAACCAGUAUGGGAUUAGCUAGUAGGUAAGGUAACGGCUUACCUAGGCGACGAUACCUAGCUGGUCUGAGAGGAUGAUCAGCCACACUGGGACUGAGAUACGGCCCAGACUCCUACGGAGGCCGCAGUGGGGAAAAUUGCACAAUGGGCGCAAGCCUGAUGCAGCCAUGCCGCGUGUAUGAAGAAGGCCUUCGGGUUGUAAAGUACUUUCAGUCGUGAGGCGUUACCGACAGAAGAAGCACCGGCUAACUCCGUGCCAGCCGCCGCGGUAAUUC